AAGCAGAGAAGAAAAAAGGAAAAUAAAAGGAAAAGAGAAAUAAUAGAAAUGCUUGGGGGCAGCCUCAACAUUUUGUGAAUACAUGUAUAUUGCAUGUGAAAGGAAAUAUUAAAAUGAUACAUUUGACACGCAAAUAGAUGUGCUGAACACAUUGCACUGAUAACUGAUAAAUUGCAAUAUGCUUCAUUAACAAAAAAGAAGUGAGAUAAGAAGUCUUGGUGAAGAUGUGGAAAAAUGGAAGGCUUGCACGGUGCUGGUGGGAAUGUAAAAUGGUGCAGCCAUUUGGAAACAAGUGUGACAACCCUAUAGGUUUGAUAAAUGUAUAAAGUUUUAUCCACCACAAUGAUAUAGAACAGUUCUAUCAUCACCAACCCAGAAGUUCUCCAGCUUCUUUAAAAUCAACAUUAAUGUUCUGUGCAACUCAUAACAAAUUAUCAUUUGAAGGUAAAUCAGUCCUUUGCUCAUUGUUCACACUGCCAAAACACCUAAGCAUAAAUCUAUGUAUUUAAUAAGAAUAAUCAGCAACCACAGGAGCAGCAAGCACUAGAGAAAGAUAAACAUCAAGGAGUACAAUAAAGUAAUGUACAUUUAAAAUUUCCCUUUUAUAUCUGGAAAGAGCUGUUAUCUGCUACUGUUUAAAAAAUACUCACAGGUGGGACAAGGAAUACAAUUCCAAUCUCGUGUGUAAAAUUAAUAAGUAUUAAAUUCAGGAAAAUU
rnacentral:lncRNA from 1 species